rnacentral:rRNA from 1 species
UACGUAGGGUGCAAGCGUUUAAUCGGAAUACUGGGCGUAAAGCGUGCGCAGGCGGUUGUGCAAGACCGAUGUGAAAUCCCCGGGCUUAACCUGGGAAUGGCAUUGGUGACUGCACGGCUAGAGUGUGUCAGAGGGGGGUAGAAUUCCACGUGUAGCAGUGAAAUGCGCAGAUAUCGGGAGGAACACCGGUGGCGAAGGCGGUUCUCUGGGCCAAUACGUGACGCUCAUGCACGAAAGCGUGGGGAGCAAACAGG